UAAUGCUGAUUUAAAAAAUACAAUAAAAAUACAAUUAUUAGUUUAGUUGAUUUCUUUUAAUUGCUUAGUAUAAAACAGGAACAACUUAAAGCAUUUAUGUUUUCUUGUUUAAGUUUUAAACUGAUUUUUUUUUUUAUUUAUUUAACAUUUAAACACCCAAAAAUACCUAUCCAAGCUAAUUUUUUUAUUUUAUUUUUUUAUGGAGCACAAAAGGAGAUGCACGAGGGAUGAUGGUUGCAACUGUCAAGCAUCCAAAAGCACGUAACAGUAUAAUUAAUAUAGUCCAUAUGACUCAUGUGCUACAGUCUGAAUACCCAAAUCUACAUACUGUCAAAGAGUGUCAAGACCAUACCAAGCAAAGAAAAUCCAACCCUGAGGAGGGCAGGUGGACGGAAGGAGGGCAAAAAAUGUUCCCUUGAAUGAACACUCGUGGUGAAGGGGUCAGCGUGCCAGGGCUUAAAAAACAAAUGACAGGAAAUGACAGACUUUAAGGAAAAACCUCAGUGAGACCUGAUGCUAAUCGGAACAAGACUGUGGAUGUGGCAGCCCUGCUAUCACCUAUCUUCCAGCACUAUAGGCAACUCAUAUUGAGGGAACACUUUACAUUCUUGUCAUUUUGAACAAACAACACCUUCAAACACCAGAUAGGACACCAUUGUCAGCUCUGUCUGAUCUGGUCUGUCCAUCAAUCUGUGGUGUGGGUGUGUGUGUGUGUGUGUGUGUGUGUGUGGGUGUGUGUGUGUGUGUGUGUGGGUGUGUGUGUGUGUGUGUGUGGGUGUGUGUGUGUGUGUGUGUGUGUGUGUGGGUGUGUGUGUGUGUGUGUGUGUGUGUGUGUGGGUGUGUGUGUGUGUGAAGAGGGAAUUAGGGGAAGGAAACUGGCAAGGUUGAAUAAUAAGAAAAGCAUAGAUGCUAGACGUGCCCACCUGUUCAUUAACUAAUUAAUCACAAGACUUAUGGUGCUAUCCUGAUUGUAAGAAAGGAUGAUGCUACUUUUUUUUAAAUCCAAAACCAACUAUGAAGGUCAUUUUUGCUGCAUCAAUACCAAUACUAAUACAUUGAUUAAACAGUUGUAAUCGCUAAUUAGUAUUAUAUUUGUAACUGAAAAUUCAAUAUUUAAACAAUUAUAAGAUUUUCUGAUUUUGUUUAUCAUACAGUAUAUUUAUUUAUUAUUUUUAUUUUUUAUUUUUAUUUUAGUUUAUAGUUUUUAUUUUAAUGUAUUUUAAAGAAGUCUUAUGCUUACCAGUGCAGCAUGUAUUUGAUCAAAAAUACAGUAAAAACAGUAAUAUUGUGAUAUUUCAAAACUCUUUUUUUGUUUCAGUGUUUUAAAAUGUAAUUCAUUCCUGUGAUGGCAAAGCUGAAUUUUCAGCAGCUAUUUUUGUAGUCAUUAGUGUCAUAUGAUCCUUCAGAAAUCAUUCUAAUAUCAUCCAUCUAAAUCAUGCUGAUAUAUAACUCUAGUAAAAUCCUGAAAUGUGUUUUUGGUGUUUCUUGAUGUAAGAUGAAAUGUUAAAUAUCACCACUGCUUAAAUUACAUUGAUAGUUAUUAAUGAUCUAAAGACUGAUUAGCAAUUAGCCACAUACAUCUGUAACUAUAUAUCCACUUCAGUGUGAAAAGCUCUCAUCAUUUGCAUGCAGCACUUAUUUUGGGGCAUUGGUGGUUUAGGAUUGGUCCCUACUUCCAACAUGCAGCAUAACAUGAAAGUGUGUGUGGGUGGCCCAAGUGCCUCUACUAAUUCAAUCAUCCCCUCCUCUCAGCUUGCUUUUUUAUUCCAAUUUGAUUAGCAGAGCUAAAGCCAUCACGAUUUUGCCCAGACAAAAUGAAUGCUUGUAUUAAUCCUGCAAUUUCCAUUUAAAAUGCAGAGCAUUGACUUGAUUAAUAAGGGGGCCGAUACUGAAUAAUUACGCUGCGAACAUCAGCUAUGGAUGAGAGCACAGCUGGGGUUGCUUACAGAUGCCCUAUGGGAUCUCAGAGGGGUCAAACCAAAGCAUUGGCCAUGACUGAGGUGAUGAAUCCGUUAGCCAAUCUUUUCGACAAUUAACAAGCUGCGGCCCCUGUAUUAAUUUGCUGCCCCUGUAGUGGAGCCUGGUAAGAUGUGUCAGGGUCAAGGGUUAAAGGUCGAGAGCACAGGUCAAACUCACUGAUUUGGCCUGGAAAAAUCAAGAGAGGAAAAUAAGCACAUUACAUCGAAAUGCAUUACCCAACCUAGAGCUUCCAGUAUCAGAUGGUUUGCAAAUUAGCAUUCGUAUAUGAAUGGGCGAGCUGAGGAACAUGAAAAGGAACAUGUGGAAAACGUUUAGUUAGUGGUGAUCAAUCUAGGUGCACUGUGUUUGAGCAUUCAAUAAAGUGCAAUCGAUGGGUGCGAGGACA
ensembl:lncRNA